UAGCUGUAAACGAUACUCGCUAGGUGUCGGCCACGGUGCGACCGUUGUCGGUGCCGUAGGGAAGCCGUGAAGCGAGCCACCUGGGAAGUACGGCCGCAAGGCUGAAACUUAAAGGAAUUGGCGGGGGAGCACAACAACGGGUGGAGCUUGCGGUUUAAUUUGGAUUCAACGCCGGAAAUCUUACCGGGACCGACAGCAACAUGAAGGCCAAGCUGAAGACUUUGUCCGGAUUAGCUGAGAGGUGGUGCAUGGCGUAGUCGUGU
rnacentral:rRNA from 1 species